UGCUGCUAACAAAGGAAGCAUGAAGAACAAUAGAGAGAAGUGGCAAAAAAGACAACCAGUAGACUUUUACAAGAACUGUACAGCUUCUGGUCAACUUUGAUCCAGAACUAGCUUGUUUAGUGAACAUUUGCUGGUCCAUGUGGAACUGAAGGAUAUCAGCUGAUCUCAGGAGCAGGACUGGAUAUGCAUCAUACAUCAGACAGCUGCCUGGAGGUGGAGUCUCUGAACUUUUUGAUCGCACCUUGAAGUACAGCAGUCAUCUCAGCUCUUUCCAAGUACAUUCAGUCAUUUAGUAGAGGAGUUUUUUGUCUGGCCGCAGACCAGAUGGUAUGUUUGGAAGACACCAGACACCACAACCCCGCUGUGAGGCAUGGAGGUGGCAGCAUCAUGAUGUGGACAUGCUUCAUGGUGGCACACCAUGGAAGGGGAAAUCCUGGAGGAUAACCUGGUAAACAUCUAAGAACUGUAACUCGAGAAAUGCCCCUGUUCGUAAAAUAACUGAAAUCUUACUUCUCUAUUAAUCUUUAAUUCAUUUUAGUUUUCAGUUCCUUCAUUUUGCCUGUUUUUUUCUUUAUUUGGCAAAGAUUUAGCCAUUUUGUUGACCUGCACAGUUGUAAUAUUCCUCAAUUUCCAUAAAGUAAUGAGAUGAUUCAUUCAUUUAUUCCAUCAUGUAUAUUUGCAUAAUGUCAUUUAGCCACAAGUAACAUUAGCCAACAUUAUGUUAAUUGCUAACUUACUAAUAGACUAAACAACUGCCUGCAUGGCUGCUGUAACUUAAGUUAUGAGAUUAAUUCAAUCAUGGGAUAACCCAGCACUGUAAUAUGUGGUCAAAACACUCAAGCAAGUUAGUAGAAACAUGGCCAAUACCCACAUUAGGUAAUGAUUACAGUUUACCAAAUCUGAUACAGUUCCUUAAGCUGUCUACACAGGUUGCUCUUGUCAAUGGCCGAAUUUUUGUUUGUUUCUUUCUCCUUAGGCUUUUUUAGCGGUUUGCUGAACACUGUCCUGCCACUUUUAUUCACACUAAGCAGCCUAGUUUGUGAGUUAGUUUGAAUGAAACAAAGGUUAUGACAAAGCAAAAGUCAGGGGAUGGAUACAAGAAAAUCUGCAAGUUACUGAAUAUGCCUUGGAGUACAGUUAAAUUCAUCAUUCAGAAAUAGAAGGAACAUCGCACAUGUGCACCCUCAAUAGCUGAGUGACCACAAAAAAGGGACUAGCGAGGGAGGCCACCAAGACACCUAUGACUCCUCUGAAGGAGUUACAGGCUUCAGGGGCUGAGAUGAGAGCGACUGCGGCUACAACAAUAACUGAUGCCUGUUCUUCACUAAUCAAUGCUUUAUGGGAGGGUGGUAAAGAGAAAGACACCAUUAAAUAAUAAUAUUAAAUCUUGACUAGAGUUCACCAGACAGCAUGUGGGAGACUUUGAAGUCAUCUGGAAGAAGGUUCUUUGAUCUAAUGAGGCGGACAUUAAGCUUUUUGGCCUCAGACUAGACACACAUCAUCCCCACUGUGAAGCAUGGUGGUGGCAGCAUCAUGAUGUGGAGAUGCUUUUCUGCUGGAAGCCUUGUAAAGAAUAGGGUAAAAUAAAUGCAAAAGUAUAGGGGAAUCCUGGAGGUCAACCUGAUACAGCCUGCAGAGAACUGCAACUUGGAACAAGAAUUAAAUCAAAUUGACCAUGAUUCAAUGUUCAAAAGCAAUGGAAGCGGAAAACAUCCUACAAGGGUGAAUCCUUUUAUAUAGGCACUGUGUCAUUAGUGUUGUUAUUUAUAGACAUCACGGUCACAGAUGAGAAAAUGUAUUAAAGAUGAAUUCAUGGUGAGUUUACUCAUGUAUAUUUGCAUAAUGUCAUUUAGCCACAAGCAGCGUUAGCUAACAUUAUGUUAUAUGCAGAAUAUAUGCAGAAAUGUUACAUAUUAUACCUUUAAUUGCAUGACUAAUAAGCUUAUCCACAUUUUGCAAGAUCUAAAUUUUAGCUGUGCAGCCAUGACACACAACAUGCAAGUUUUCAACAGUGGAAAGACACAACUGAAGCUGUGGAUCCCUCCUGACCUGUAUUUACCGUCUGUAGUUUAUCCUUCUGUGAUGCUUUAAAAAGCAGCAGGGAAACCCAUCUCUCUCUCCCUCUCUCUGGAUCCGUUUUGACACUGUGUAUAUGUUUUGGGAUUUUAAGCAUGUGCGAUACACGCCCACACAGAUGCACUGACAAACAUACUCACACAAGGAGAAACACACUGAGUGAAAAACACACAUCCAUACACAAACACACCCCCUCUAAUGCAGUGCAGUAAAUACAAUGAUUGUAUUUUGGCUCCAUAUUCUCCAGGGUGGUGACAAGUCUUUUUUCCUCUCACAUGGUAUAAAUGAAAUCCAAUUAUAUCUGUAAUGGCUCUUCAACUCUUCUUCUGCUUUGAAGGAGUCAGCUUGCUUGAGUCACCACUGUUGGACCCGAAUGUGCUCUGUAAGUCAGUGAUGCGCAAAUGUGCAAUGGAGACAGAUGUAGAGUGUGUGUGUGUUCGUGUGUGUUCGUGUGUGUUCGUGUGUGUGUGUGGUCCAAUGCCUCUAUUUUAGGCAACUAACAUUCAGAAGUGACUUAACUCCUGUCAAACUUUGUUACUCCGUUAAGUGUGUCGCAUGUUACGGCAAUGACUGUCUAUUUGCAUAUUUUAAUUAAAUAGCUGGAAUUUAGAAUUAAUCACUUCCUAAAUUUAUGGGGUAAUUAUAUGGUGUUUGUCCUUGACUUGGCAGCAUAACCCACCCAUGAAUAAAUUCAUCACAGUCCUGUGAUGGCAGACAAAGUUACGCUGACACCUGCAAACUUUGUUUCCUCCACUUACCCCUCAAUUACCCUCUUUUAUGUUCUUUUCUGACACAAUAAAUCACAUACUGUCACAUUGUCUCUUUCAUCGAGCCCCUCUGACAAGUUGAUCAUGGAGAUGUGUGGGUGGAAGAACUCGACUGCAGUGCAUGUGUAUGCAUGUAUGUGUAUGUGAAGGGAUUUCUAA